rnacentral:rRNA from 1 species
AGAGUUUGAUCAUGGCUCAGAUUGAACGCUGGCGGCAGGCUUAACACAUGCAAGUCGAGCGGAGCGAGGGUGCUUGCACCUUAGCUUAGCGGCGGACGGGUGAGUAAUGCUUAGGAAUCUGCCUAUUAGUGGGGGACAACAUUCCGAAAGGGAUGCUAAUACCGCAUACGCCCUACGGGGGAAAGCAGGGGAUCUUCGGACCUUGCGCUAAUAGAUGAGCCUAAGUCGGAUUAGCUAGUUGGUGGGGUAAAGGCCUACCAAGGCGACGAUCUGUAGCGGGUCUGAGAGGAUGAUCCGCCACACUGGGACUGAGACACGGCCUAGACUCCUACGGGAGGCAGCAGUGGGGAAUAUUGGACAAUGGGGGGAACCCUGAUCCAGCCAUGCCGCGUGUGUGAGGAAGGCCUUUUGGUUGUAAAGCACUUUAAGCGAGGAGGAGGCGCUCUAGGAUAAUACCCUAGAUGCGUGGACGUUACUCGCAGAAUAAGCACCGGCUAACUCUGUGCCAGCAGCCGCGGUAAUACAGAGGGUGCGAGCGUUAAUCGGAUUUACUGGGCGUAAAGCGCGCGUAGGUGGCUAAUUAAGUCAAAUGUGAAAUCCCCGAGCUUAACUUGGGAAUUGCAUUCGAUACUGGUUAGCUAGAGUAUGGGAGAGGAUGGUAGAAUUCCAGGUGUAGCGGUGAAAUGCGUAGAGAUCUGGAGGAAUACCGAUGGCGAAGGCAGCCAUCUGGCCUAAUACUGACACUGAGGUGCGAAAGCAUGGGGAGCAAACAGGAUUAGAUACCCUGGUAGUCCAUGCCGU